rnacentral:rRNA from 1 species
CGCCUCUUGCAACACAACUAAGUAUAAGAGGUCCAGCCUGCCCAGUGACAAUAAGUUAAAUGGCCGCGGUAUUUUAACCGUGCAAAGGUAGCGUAAUCACUUGUCUUCUAAAUAAAGACCUGUAUGAAUGGCUAAACGAGGGCUUAACUGUCUCCCUUUUCAAGUCAGUGAAAUUGAUCUGCCCGUGCAGAAGCGGACAUAAAUAUACAAGACGAGAAGACCCUUUGGAGCUUAAGGUACAAAUCUUCAACCACGUCAAGCGACUCGAUAAAAAGCGACAAACUUUGUGGUAUCUGAGAUCAACCUUCGGUUGGGGCGACCAUGGAGUAAAAAAUAUCAUCCAAGUGGAAUGGGACAAACCUUCCCUAAAACCAAGAAAGACAUUUCUAAGCCACAGAAAAUCUGACCAUAAAUGAUCCGGUCAACAUGACCGAUUAACGAAUCAAGUUACCCCAGGGAUAACAGCGCAAUCCUCUCCCAGAGUCCAUAUCGACGAGGGGGUUUACGACCUCGAUGUUGGAUCAGGACAUCCUAAUGGUGCAGCCGCUAUUAAGGGUUCGUUUGUUCAACGAUUAAAGUCCU